CCGGGGGUAGAGCACUGUUUCGGCUAGGGGCCCAUCCCGGGUUACCAAACCGAGGCAAACUCCGAAUACCGGUGAGUGCAGCGUGGGAGACACACGGCGGGUGCUAACGUCCGUCGUGAAAAGGGAAACAACCCAGACCGUCAGCUAAGGCCCCAAAAUCCUGGUUAAGUGGGAAACGAUGUGGGAAGGCUCAGACAGCUAGGAGGUUGGCUUAGAAGCAGCCAUCCUUUAAAGAAAGCGUAAUAGCUCACUAGUCGAGUCGGCCUGCGCGGAAGAUGUAACGGGGCUCAAACCAGGUGCCGAAGCUACGGGUGCAUCGAAUGAUGCGCGGUAGAGGAGCGUCGUGUACGCCGAUGAAGGUGGAUUGAGAAGUCCGCUGGAGGUAUCACGAGUGCGAAUGCUGACAUGAGUAACGACAAGGGGAGUGAAAAACUCCCCCGCCGGAAGACCAAGGGUUUCUGUUCUACGUUAAUCGGAGCAGAGUGAGUCGGCCCCUAAGGCGAGGCCGAAAGGCGUAGUCGAUGGGAAACGGGUUAAUAUUCCCGUACCUCACGUGGUUGCGAUGGGGGGACGAAGAAGGCUAGGUGAGCCGGGCGUUGGUUGCCCCGGUGAAAGUGCGUAGGCUGGGGUUUCAGGUAAAUCCGGAAUCCCAAGGCCGAGACACGAGACGAACGGACCACGGUCCGGAAGUCAUUGAUGCCACGCUUCCAGGAAAAGCCUCUAAGCUUCAGAUCACGUGAGACCGUACCCCAAACCGACACAGGUGGUCAGGUAGAGAAUACCCAGGCGCUUGAGAGAACUCGGGUGAAGGAACUAGGCAAAAUGGUGCCGUAACUUCGGGAGAAGGCACGCCGGCAUGUAGGUGUACACCCUCGCGGUGGAAGCCGAGGCCGGUCGAAGAUACCAGGUGGCUGCAACUGUUUAUUAAAAACACAGCACUCUGCAAACGCGUAAGCGGACGUAUAGGGUGUGACGCCUGCCCGGUGCCGGAAGGUUAAGUGAUGGUGUUAGC
rnacentral:rRNA from 1 species